rnacentral:rRNA from 1 species
CUACGGGGUGCUCCAGUCGCGGAACUUUUACAAUGCACGCAAGUGUGAUAAAGCGAACCAAAGUGUUCUUCGUUUAGAAGAACUUUUCCUUACUGUAAAAAUGUAGGGGAAUAAGGACUGGGAAAGACUGGUGCCAGCCGCCGCGGUAAUACCAGCAGUUCGAGUGGCAUCCACUUUUAUUGGGUCUAAAACAUCCGUAGCUUGCCAUCUAAGUCUCUUGUGAAAUCCUAUGUCUUAAGCAUGGGGCUUGCAGGAGAUACUGGGUGGCUAGAGAUCGGUAGACGUAAGGAGUACGCCGGGGGUAAUGGUUAAAUGUGUUAAUCCUCGGUGGACUAACAAUGAGCGAAGGCACCUUACGAGGACGAAUCUGACAGUGAGGGAUGAAGGCCAGGGGCGCAAAACGGAUUAGAUACCCGAGUAGUC